rnacentral:snRNA from 1 species
CAUUGUAUUCUCAGUAUUCC